CACUGGGAUCCAGUCAUCCAUUGGCACAGAGGCACAGUUUCCACUUUGAUACAAUCUGUGUCAGCCUGGCAGUUAAUUUAUUUAGCAGCAUCUUAAAUUUUUUUUUUCAUAAAAUCCAGCUCCUGCAGGAUAUUUAUCAGCAUCUUUGCAAGACAGGAUGAAUUCAAAAUAAAGUAUAGGAGAAGAAACAUUCAGGAUUGUGGUGAGGAGCAAAUGAAUCAACGCAUGGGCAAGGGAUGGUCGCAUCUGUGAAAGGAAAUUCAAUCUCGGGACCCCAAAAUCCUACACCAAAGAGAAAAGUCAAGCUGGGAACUGCAUCAGGCAAACCUGCCUCCCAUUUAAUUGCUAAAUAAGAUAGCUACAAAGAUUUUUUAAAAAAGAAAACAACUACAUAUCUCCGUCACAAUUUGCCUGCAAGAAAAUUUUUGUGGGCCUCAAGAUCUUUACCCUAAAACGGUUUUGUUGAAUUUCACCUUGGAAAUGUAAGUUGAUAGCUGAUCUUCACAGCUGCGGGACAAAGGACAGAACUCAAAGUCAUCCCUCUGCUCACCUGAGACAAAUGCAUAUCUGAUUGCUUUCUCUGCCUUACUGUUUAUGCAAAACUGCAGAUUCACUAAGGCUAAGUGACCAUUCCUCUACCCACUCCUCACAUGUAAAUCGUGUAUUCAGUGAAAGGCUGAUCAAAGACUCGAAAGACUGCAACCAUUUGUCUCUUACCUACCUGUGACCUGGAAGCCCCCGUUCCCGUGCUUUGAGUUGUCCUGCCUUUCCAGACCAAACCAAUGUACCUCUUACACAUAUUGAUUGAUGUCUCAUGUCUGUCUAAAUGCAUAAAAUCAA
rnacentral:sRNA from 1 species